GCUAACAGCUAGCUCUCUGCAACUCUCACAUGUUUGCCCACUGAAGCUAAGCAGGGCUGUGCUUGGUCAGCACCUGUAUGGGAGACCACAUAAGAAAGCUAGGUUGCUGCCGGAA
rnacentral:rRNA from 1 species